rnacentral:rRNA from 1 species
UACGAAGGGGGCUAGCGUUGCUCGGAAUCACUGGGCGUAAAGGGCGCGUAGGCGGAUGAUUUAGUCGAGGGUGAAAGCCUGUGGCUCAACCACAGAAUUGCCUUCGAUACUGGUUGGCUUGAGACCGGAAGAGGACAGCGGAACUGCGAGUGUAGAGGUGAAAUUCGUAGAUAUUCGCAAGAACACCAGUGGCGAAGGCGGCUGUCUGGUCCGGUUCUGACGCUGAGGCGCGAAAGCGUGGGGAGCAAACAGG